AAUGAGCUCAGAUGCUACCUCUUCUUGGAACCCACCCCAACAUCCCUGGAGAGAGCUGGUCACCCUCUGUGCCCACGGAUGUCCCUGACCAUUUCUAUUAUACCAUUUACGACACUGUUUUGUGGUUCUCUAGCUGCAGCAAUGUUAGCCCUCACUCAGCAAUCAGAGAGGCCAUGUCUUACUGUGUUUGUUUCCUCAUGUCUGUUCCUGCCUCCUAGCACCGUGCUUGUCCUUAGUGGGUUGAAAUGAUCAUCACUGGCUAAACGGGGACAAAGAGUGUGCUGAGCCCAGGUCAGGAUCAAAAAGUGUCUUGAGUCCACUGAUAGCCUUGCAAACUUGGUGAAAAUACGCGAAUGUUUUCUUCAUUCUUUGUGGAAUAAACUCAUCUUGAUGGUUUUAUCCUUUAAACUAUACCAUCAAGAUAAAAUGUACUUCUUUAGGGCACAUGUUCAGUCACAAUGUCCAGAGUCAAAUGAAACCAAAGAAAACGGUUCUCUAGCAUUCCUGGGAUAUGAUCCUACUUCUUCUUCAAGGCCUAACUCACACAUUACCUUCUCCUGGGGGCCUUUGUUGGCUUAUUGUUCCUAUGUUUGUCUCUUCCUAUUUAACUCUUCUAAUGAUGGUUGUUUCUACUGCAUAAUUCAUUCCUAAAUUCCUUACUCUGGACUCAAUCAGUAUUUUGGAUUGAAAUAUGUUGAUCCAUGGAAGCAAAAGCUGGGUUUCAUGGCUCUUUGUACUCUGUUAAUCAACAAAGGACUCAAAUCUCCAACGAUUCUUUUUCAAAACCUUAGCAAAAAACCAAAAAAAACAAAACAAAACUAUUCAGGGAAAAGAAGGCUUACUGAAACAUAUGCCAUUUGUUAUUUUGAGCACGUGGUUCUUCUUUAGAAGUUGUAUAGAAAGGUAAAGAUUACUAUCCAAAAAGAGAGAGAGAGAAAAUUAUUUAGCAGCUUCCACAUUUCAAGGAUGUGGCAGAAUUUAACUAAGGGCAAAAUCUGUCUUUGCUAGGAAAAUGCAGUAAUGGGUAUCAUCAGGUAUGCAAAAGGAAGUCCAUGAGCUAGAUGGUCUGUAAUAGGAAUGCUCACUUUUUAUCUGGUAGGCAGGGGGUACUGGAAGCCGGUAGAAAAGGAAAGUUGGAAAAUGGGAAUCUUGGUAGGGACUGUGGACCCGGCAAUAUGGUGUCAGGCCAGGGCCCAAGGCAAGAAAGGACUGGUUAAGAAAUUUCCCCCUGGGAGAUGGAUGAAGAACCGUAAGAACACUAUUCUCUUGUAUUCAAUGUUGAAUUGUUUAUUAUUCCAUGAUGUGCUGGUCCCUCUUCAUUAUUCCCAAGCAUUCAAAAAAUUCUGUUGUGCACCAAGGCUUUUUGUUGGUGGUGUGUGUUGGAAGGAAUGAGGAGAAAGGUGGCUGCACGUAGCAUGGAAAGAGGAGAGGAGUCACAGGAGAAGGGAAAGUAAGCAAGGAUCAAGAAGUCAGAAGAGGCAGGAAGUCUGGGCAAGAGAUGUUUGGCACAGCAUCCCAACUAGACGUCUAUUUCUUCUUGUUCUCCUUCACCUCACAUGAACCUUCCAAGUCAUAAUUCUUUGGAAAUAGGCACAAGGAGCCUUAGUUCAAAUUACCAUCUUUUAUUUAAGGACUUCCAUCUCUAAGUCUUCCACCCUCACUGGCAACAUCUGGGUAAAGUCAGUAUGGGCUCAUGCUGCACUUGGACAAUGGCCUUCAGCACGUAUCUCCCUGCUUCCGGGCUCUCCAGGAUCUCGUCCAUCUAUCUGUUAGAACUCCUUCCACAGAGAACUCUGCAUUUGUUUAGAAGAAAUAGCUCACAAGCAUAUCAGCAAUCUCAGUGACGCACCACUCUGCUGGUAAUUCAUAUGGUAUAUUCAGAACCACAGAUCAUGGCUGUUAGACCUGCCAGAUGUUCCUAGUCCCUUGCUGCAAUUAAGUUCCAACAUAGCCCAAUUUGAAAGAGAUGGAGAAACCACAGUUCUAAUUAAGAAUAUUCAUGAGUUUGCACCUUGGAAAGCCAGAAAUCACAUAAUGUGCCAGAGUGGACAAGAUCCUUUCCUUCGAGAAGAGAAAAAAAAAAUGCAGU